UACGAGAGGCCCAAACGUUAUUCGGAAUUACUGGGCUUAAAGAGUUCGUAGGCGGCGCAGAAAGUAGGGUGUGAAAGCCCUCGGCUCAACCGAGGAAUUGCGCUCUAAAACUACUGUGCUCGAGGAAUCUAGAGGUGAGCGGAACUGAUGGUGGAGCGGUGAAAUGCGUUGAUAUCAUCAGGAACACCGGAGGCGAAGGCGGCUCACUGGGGAUUUUUCUGACGCUGAGGGAACGAAAGCCAGGGGAGCGAACCGGG
rnacentral:rRNA from 1 species